rnacentral:rRNA from 1 species
UACGUAGGGGGCAAGCGUUAUCCGGAUUUACUGGGUGUAAAGGGAGCGUAGACGGCAGCGCAAGUCUGGAGUGAAAUGCCGGGGCUCAACCCCGGAACUGCUUUGGAAACUGUGCAGCUAGAGUGCGGGAGAGGUAAGCGGAAUUCCUAGUGUAGCGGUGAAAUGCGUAGAUAUUAGGAGGAACACCAGUGGCGAAGGCGGCUUACUGGACCGUAACUGGCGUUGAGGCUCGAAAGCGUGGGGAGCAAACAGG